AACGAACGCUGGCGGCAGGCUUAACACAUGCAAGUCGAGCGCAUCCUUCGGGGUGAGCGGCAGACGGGUGAGUAACGCGUGGGAACGUACCCUUUCCUACGGAAUAGCUCCGGGAAACUGGAAUUAAUACCGUAUACGCCCUUAGGGGGAAAGAUUUAUCGGGGAAGGAUCGGCCCGCGUUGGAUUAGCUAGUUGGUGGGGUACAGGCCAACAAAGGCGACGGUCCAUAGCUGGUCUCGGGGGAUGAGCAGCCACCGUGGGACUGAGACACGGCCCAAACGCCUACGGGAGGCAGCAAUGGGGAAUAUUGGACAUUGGGCGCAAGCCUGAUCCAGCCAUGCCGCGUGAGUGAUGAAGGCCUUAGGGUUGUAAAGCUCUUUCAGUAGGGAAGAUAAUGACGGUACCUACAGAAGAAGCCCCGGCUAACUUCGUGCCAGCCGCCGCCGUAA
rnacentral:rRNA from 1 species